UUACCUUUAUUCAACAUGCUGCCACUGCAGCAUUGGGGGUUUUCUCUGAUGUUUCUCUCCAUCCUCACAGGAGUCAGCUGUGAAGAACUCACUCCAGUAGAGAAAGAAGAGAACAGUUUAGAAGACAGCUCUGUUACUCUGUCCUACAGAUACUCCAGACAAGCAGCUGGUGCUGAUCAGUUUUACUGGUAUCGACAAUAUCCAGGAAAAACACCAGAGUUCAUCAUCUCUCACUUAGGAACAGGAGCAACAAUGAAAAGUCCAAUCCCUGGACUGUCUGCUUCAGUGAGUGAGGAUAAAACCAAAAUGGAUCUCCAGAUCUCCUCUGCUGCAGUGCCAGACUCUGCUGUGUACUACUGUGCUGUGAGGCCCACAGUGACAGCAAACCCACAGUCUCUGUACAAAAACACAAGCUGA